CCUGACGGAGCAAUACCGCGUGAGGGAGGACGGCCUAAUGGUUGUAAACCUCUUUUCUCAAGGAAGAAGACAUGACGGUACUUGAGGAAUAAGCCACGGCUAAUUCCGUGCCAGCAGCCGCGGUAAUACGGGAGUGGCAAGCGUUAUCCGGAAUUAUUGGGCGUAAAGCGUCCGCAGGCGGCCUUGUAAGUCUGUCGUUAAGACGUGGAGCUCAACUCCAUUUCAGCGAUGGAAACUACAAGGCUUGAGUGUGGUAGGGGCAGAGGGAAUUCCCGGUGUAGCGGUGAAAUGCGUAGAUAUCGGGAAGAACACCAGUGGCGAAGGCGCUCUGCUGGGCCAUAACUGACGCUCAUGGACGAAAGCCAGGGGAGCGAAAGGGAUUAGAUACCCCUGUAGUCCUG
rnacentral:rRNA from 1 species